GACGAACGCUGGCGGCGUGCUUAACACAUGCAAGUCGAACGGUGAUGCUCCAGCUUGCUGGAGUGGAUCAGUGGCGAACGGGUGAGUAACACGUGAGCAACCUGCCCCAGACUCUGGAAUAAGCGCUGGAAACGGCGUCUAAUACUGGAUACGAAACUGGCCCGCAUGGGCAUGGUUUGGAAAGUUUGUCGGGUUGGGAUGGGCUCGCGGCCUAUCAGCUUGUUGGUGAGGUAAUGGCUCACCAAGGCGACGACGGGUAGCCGGCCUGAGAGGGCGACCGGCCACACUGGGACUGAGACACGGCCCAGACUCCUACGGGAGGCAGCAGUGGGGAAUAUUGCACAAUGGGCGAAAGCCUGAUGCAGCGACGCCGCGUGAGGGAUGACGGCCUUCGGGUUGUAAACCUCUUUCAGCAGGGAAGAAGCGAAAGUGACGGUACCUGCAGAAGAAGCACCGGCUAACUACGUG
rnacentral:rRNA from 1 species